UACGAAGGGGGCUAGCGUUGCUCGGAAUCACUGGGCGUAAAGCGCACGUAGGCGGCUUCUUAAGUCAGGGGUGAAAUCCUGGAGCUCAACUCCAGAACUGCCUUUGAUACUGGGAAGCUUGGAGUCCGGGAGAGGUGAGUGGAACUGCGAGUGUAGAGGUGAAAUUCGUAGAUAUUCGCAAGAACACCAGUGGCGAAGGCGGCUCACUGGCCCGGUACUGACGCUGAGGUGCGAAAGCAUGGGGAGCAAACAGG
rnacentral:rRNA from 1 species